rnacentral:rRNA from 1 species
UACGUGAGGGGCAAGCGUUGUCCGGAUUUAUUGGGCGUAAAGAGCGUGUAGGCGGCUUUACAGGUCCGUUGUGAAAACUCGAGGCUCAACCUCGAGACGCCGGUGGAAACCGUAAAGCUAGAGUCCGGAAGAGGAGAGUGGAAUUCCUGGUGUAGCGGUGAAAUGACGCAGAUAUCAGGAGGAACACCCGUGGCGAAAGCGGCUCUCUGGGACGGUACUGGACGCUGAGACGCGAAAGCGUGGGGAGCAAACAGG